rnacentral:rRNA from 1 species
ACGUGCCUACGGGAGGCAGCAGUGGGGAAUAUUGGGCAAUGGGCGCAAGCCUGACCCAGCAACGCCGCGUGAAGGAAGAAGGCUUUCGGGUUGUAAACUUCUUUUGUCAGGGACGAAGCAAGUGACGGUACCUGACGAAUAAGCCACGGCUAACUACGUGCCAGCAGCCGCGGUAAUACGUAGGUGGCAAGCGUUAUCCGGAUUUACUGGGUGUAAAGGGCGUGUAGGCGGGACUGCAAGUCCGGAGUGAAAGCCCACGGCCCAACCGUGGGACUGCUCUGGAAACUGGGCGGCUUGAG